CCUACGGGAGGCAGCAGUGGGGAAUAUUGGACAAUGGGCGAAAGCCUGAUCCAGCCAUGCCGCGUGUGUGAAGAAGGCCUUCGGGUUGUAAAGCACUUUCAGUGGGGAAGAAAGCCUUGGGGCUAAUACCCUCGAGGAAGGACAUCACCCACAGAAGAAGCACCGGCUAACUCCGUGCCAGCAGCCGCGGUAAUACGGAGGGUGCGAGCGUUAAUCGGAAUUACUGGGCGUAAAGCGCGCGUAGGCGGUCUGAUAAGCCGGUUGUGAAAGCCCCGGGCUCAACCUUGGAACGGCAUCCGGAACUGUCAGGCUAGAGUGCAGGAGAGGAAGGUAGAAUUCCCGGUGUAGCGGUGAAAUGCGUAGAGAUCGGGAGGAAUACCAGUGGCGAAGGCGGCCUUCUGGACUGACACUGACGCUGAGGUGCGAAAGCGUGGGUAGCAAACAGGAUUAGAUACCCCUGUAGUC
rnacentral:rRNA from 1 species